GACGAACGCUGGCGGCGUGCCUAAUACAUGCAAGUAGAACGCUGAAGGAGGAGCUUGCUUCUCUGGAUGAGUUGCGAACGGGUGAGUAACGCGUAGGUAACCUGCCUGGUAGCGGGGGAUAACUAUUGGAAACGAUAGCUAAUACCGCAUAAGAGUAGAUGUUGCAUGACAUUUGCUUAAAAGGUGCAAUUGCAUCACUACCAGAUGGACCUGCGUUGUAUUAGCUAGUUGGUGAGGUAACGGCUCACCAAGGCAACGAUACAUAGCCGACCUGAGAGGGUGAUCGGCCACACUGGGACUGAGACACGGCCCAGACUCCUACGGGAGGCAGCAGUAGGGAAUCUUCGGCAAUGGACGGAAGUCUGACCGAGCAACGCCGCGUGAGUGAAGAAGGUUUUCGGAUCGUAAAGCUCUGUUGUAAGAGAAGAACGAGUGUGAGAGUGGAAAGUUCACACNGNGACGNU
rnacentral:rRNA from 1 species